CAGGGAGGUGGAGAGAGUCACAAAUAACAUGUCUGGAGAGCUGGGUCUGGUCCUGAGUCUAUCUGUGAACACACCUGGGGCAAAGCUAUAUUUCUGGACUGUAACAUUCUCUUGGCAGGUCCUGGACCACCUUCCAGAUGACUGAGGCCCUGGUGGGCCAUGAGCUUCCCUCAAACCUGCACAUUUGAGACUCAGUACCAUUCUCUGGGGCUCUGUGUCCUCACCUGCCAGCCAUAUUUUCAUGGAUGCAGCACUCAUGGAACAGCAGAACAAGAUGUAGAACUCUCAGCUCCUCCAGCCCCACAUCUGCCUGGAUGCUGCCCUGCUCCCACCUUGAUGAUAAUGGACUGAACUUCUAAACCUGUAAGCCAGAUCCAAUUAAAUGUUGUCCUUUAUAAGA
rnacentral:lncRNA from 1 species